rnacentral:rRNA from 1 species
GAUGAACGCUGGCGGCGUGCCUAACACAUGCAAGUCGAGCGAUGAAGUUUCCUUCGGGAAACGGAUUAGCGGCGGACGGGUGAGUAACACGUGGGCAACCUACCUCAUAGAGGGGAAUAGCCUUCCGAAAGGGAGAUUAAUACCGCAUAACAUUUUUGAUUGGCAUCAAUCGGAAAUCAAAGGAGCAAUCCGCUAUGAGAUGGGCCCGCGUCGCAUUAGUUAGUUGGUGGGGUAAAGGCCUACCAAGACGACGAUGCGUAGCCGACCUGAGAGGGUGAUCGGCCACAUUGGGACUGAGACACGGCCCAGACUCCUACGGGAGGCAGCAGUGGGGAAUAUUGCACAAUGGAGGAAACUCUGAUGCAGCAACGCCGCGUGAGCGAUGAAGGUCUUCGGAUCGUAAAGCUCUGUCUUUAGGGAUGAUAAUGACAGUACCUAAGGAGGAAGCCACGGCUAACUACGUGCCAGCCGCCGCAGUAAAAC